rnacentral:tRNA from 1 species
CGGGGCGUGGCGCAGCUUGGUAGCGCGCUACAAUGGGGUUGUAGAGGUCGUGGGUUCGAAUCCCGCCGCCCCGA